rnacentral:rRNA from 1 species
CUGGUGGUCUUUGGCCAUCCGAGUUGUAAUUUAGAGAAGCGUCUUCCGCGCUGGACCGUGCACAAGUCUCCUGGAAUGGAGCGUCAUAGAGGGUGAGAAUCCCGUCUUUGGCAUGGAUCCCAGGGCUUCUGUGAUGCGCUCUCGACGAGUCGAGUUGUUUGGGAAUGCAGCUCAAAAUGGGUGGUGAACUCCAUCUAAAGCUAAAUAUUGGCGAGAGACCGAUAGCGAACAAGUACCGUGAGGGAAAGAUGAAAAGCACUUUGGAAAGAGAGUGAAACAGUACGUGAAAUUGUUGAAAGGGAAACGCUUGAAGUCAGUCGCGUUGACCGAGACUCAACCUUGCUUUGGCUUGGUGUAUUUCUCGGCUGACGGGUCAGCAUCAAUUUUGACCCUCAGAUAAUGGCAAGGGAAAGGUGGCACCUUUUAGGUGUGUUAUAGUCCCAUGUCGCAUGUGAGGGUUGGGAUUGAGGAACUCAGCAUGCACCUCUGGGUGUCGGGGCUUUGGCCCACGUUACAUGCUUAGGAUGCUGGCRUAAUGGCUUUAAACGACCCGUCUUGAAACACGGACCAAGGAGUCUAACAUACCCGCGAGUGUUCGGGUGGAAAACCCGUGCGCGUAAUGAAAGUAAAAGUUGGGACCUCUGUCGUGGAGGGCACCGACGCCCGGACCAGACCUUCUGUGACGGCUCUGCGGUAGAGCGUGUAUGUUGGGA